UGGGGAAUAUUGGACAAUGGGCGCAAGCCUGAUCCAGCCAUGCCGCGUGUGUGAAGAAGGCCUUAGGGUUGUAAAGCACUUUCAGUGGGGAGGAAGGGUGUUGUGUUAAUAGCACAGCAUUUUGACGUUACCCACAGAAGAAGCACCGGCUAACUCCGUGCCAGCAGCCGCGGUAAUACGGAGGGUGCAAGCGUUAAUCGGAAUUACUGGGCGUAAAGCGCACGCAGGCGGCUUUUUAAGUCGGAUGUGAAAGCCCCGGGCUCAACCUGGGAAUUGCAUCUGAUACUGGGAAGCUAGAGUAUGUGAGAGGGGGGUAGAAUUCCAAGUGUAGCGGUGAAAUGCGUAGAGAUUUGGAGGAAUACCAGUGGCGAAGGCGGCCCCCUGGCACAAUACUGACGCUCAGGUGCGAAAGCGUGGGGAGCAAAACAGGAUUAGAUACCCUGGUAGUCCACGCCGUAAACGAUGUCUACUAGAUGUUCGUGGUCUUGUACCGUGAGUAUCGCAGCUAACGCAUUAAGUAGACCGCCUGGGGAGUACGGUCGCAAGAUUAAAAACUCAAAGGAAUUGACGGGGUCAUAGCUGUUUCCU
rnacentral:rRNA from 1 species